rnacentral:tRNA from 1 species
CAGGGAGACAAACCAGACAUUGCUGUUGGAUCCAUUCUGUGAUCCGGCCGAUGUCCUGUCAUCUCGAAGGUCGAUCGGUACCUCAAGCCAGGUUGCCAUGAUGAGAAGGAGACUUCUGAUCGAUGGUGAUGGUGGUUUCAGUUCCUGAACUCUGUCUAGGUCACCCCACAAGGGUAAGUACUCCUGGGCCAUUAGCUCAGGUGGUUAGAGCGCACCCCUGAUAAGGGUGAGGUCCCUGGUUCAAGUCCAGGAUGGCCCAUUCACCGCCUGCUGAGCAGGCAGGACUUGACUGCUGGGGGUUUAGCUCAGUUGGUAGAGCGCCUGCUUUGCAAGCAGGAUGUCAGCGGUUCGAGUCCGCUAACCUCCAUCCAACGAGGAAUCUCGAGUAGCGAAGGAAGGAGUCGCUGCGGUGGUGACCGAACUGCUGAACGCAUGUUGCCUCAACAGAGGUGAGGAUGCGGAAAGGAAUCUAGCCUCCAGGCAUUCUGAACGAUCAGCUGCCUGGAAGCUGGAUUCAGGCUUCUUGAAGGAGAAGCGAUGAAUUCAGCAAGAACCUUGACAACUGCAUAGGUGAGUUUGGAAAGAAAGCAUCUCAUGGAUGCCCAGCGCGAGCUGGGAUUCUAUGGAGUUUAAGAGCUGAGACUUUCCAAUGUUCUUCCAAGCCUGCCGAGGGUAAGGGAGUUUGAUCCUGGACGUCAGGAGGAGAGUGGAUUGUGCUGCGAAAGCAGGAUGGUCAGCUCAAACCUUGACGCUGGGAGAAGGGGCCUCAACA